rnacentral:rRNA from 1 species
AUUGAACGCUGGCGGCGUGCUUAACACAUGCAAGUCGAACGGUGAAGCAGGAGCUUGCUCCUGUGGAUCAGUGGCGAACGGGUGAGUAACACGUGAGCAAUCUGCCCUGGACUCUGGGAUAAGCGUUGGAAACGACGUCUAAUACCGGAUACGAGGCGUGGGGGCAUCCCCAACGCCUGGAAAGAACUUCGGUCCAGGAUGAGCUCGCGGCCUAUCAGGUAGUUGGUGAGGUAACGGCUCACCAAGCCUACGACGGGUAGCCGGCCUGAGAGGGUGACCGGCCACACUGGGACUGAGACACGGCCCAGACUCCUACGGGAGGCAGCAGUGGGGAAUAUUGCACAAUGGGCGCAAGCCUGAUGCAGCAACGCCGCGUGAGGGACGACGGCCUUCGGGUUGUAAACCUCUUUUAGCAGGGAAGAAGCGAAAGUGACGGUACCUGCAGAAAAAGCACCGGCUAACUACGUGCCAGCCGCCGCAGUAAAAC